rnacentral:lncRNA from 1 species
UUUUUUUUUUUUUUUUUGUAUCCAAGCAGACAACCUACGCUAGCAUCAGUCUUGUAACAGCUGCCGAUUCCUCAUUAAUGACAUCUUGGCUUGUUCUUCAACGAGUGAAAAAAAGAAAAAAGAGCCUAAAAUUCUUCAACUUUUAUGUUGUUCGAGUAUUACUACUACUAUCUAUGAUUUACUAUUUAAAAUAUCUUUGGUAUUGUUUAGCUUCUGAAUUGUUUAUCUUCGUAGUUGUGUUACCAUAUGGACUUGAGGUAGCUUGUGUGCCUUUUCAAGUCAUCGAGAUUAAUAUGCCUCGUAGAAUAGUUGCUUUGGAUUGUGAUCGAAAAGGUUCAGUGAUAUAGGUCGCAGAAAGCUAAAAGCAUGAAUGCAGGCAGAGCACAAACUGAAACUGGGUUCUUAUGCAAUUUACUGAGUAGGAAAACAGACAAAUUAACCAUUGACUGAUAUCAGCAACUGCGUUUAAAAAGUUAAUGGUUUUCCAUCACUGCGUCUGACCACCAAGAAAGUAUCAUUGAACGUACACGGUAACACAGACUCACAAUUUUCAGGUUCUGAUCUUGUCUCUUUUGCUCGUCUUUGCGAAACGUGAACAAUACAAAAACACAUAACUCGAAAAGGAAAAUUUUCUUGUGAAGUUUUUCCAGUCCAAUCCGGCAAAAGGAGAUGCUAGUAGCCUACUAUGCUCUUUAGUUUUGCUGUUAAAUAUGAUUCAACCUUGUAAUGAAGUGAACUGACCAGUAAAAAAAAAAAUCAUUAGUCAUGAGCUACAUUAGUCACUUUGUGACAGGACCAAAUGGACAGAAUUUUCUUCUGUUGGUUUGCACUUUGAAGGAGUCCUGAAAUCUAACAUUGACAAGUAAACUUAUCUCGGUAUAUUUUAAUCACUUGCCGACUAUGUUCCUUCCCCCCAAAGAAAAGCGCAAAAGAAAAAUGGUGAAGAUGCAUCAAACCUGUUCUUCCGUGUCAAAUUUUUCAUUUUAGCUUUAGCCAACGUUUUGCUCCAAAAGUCAAAAGAGCGCACCCAAAGAUACUUGUAGUAGGUAUAGAAUGCUAAAUGAUUGGAUCCAUCUCUCUCUCUCUCUAGUCUAUGUAUAAGCAAAUAUACUUAAACCUUUGAAACCCUAUCUUCAUAAAGCCUAGUCUGAGUUUGUGGGGUAUUUUCAGUGUUAAGAUGGUACUGCAGACAUUAGACAUUGUAAAGAAUGAAAUUCCAAUAGAGGAAGAAUCAGUAGUUAUAAGUGAAGAUACUAACGCUGGUUUAGUUCUUGUGGACAUCAUCAAUGGCUUCUGCACUGUCGGAGCUGGCAAUCUGGUACCUAUUGAUCAGUCCUUGUACUCCUUUAGACACUUCUCUUCUUCUGUUUUUUUUUUUUUCCGUUACCAGGAUUUUUUUUUUCACAAAAAAAGGAACUUCUCUUCGUUGUUCAGUGAUCUGUGUACAUAUCCAGAUUUCGGGGCUCAUAGUACUCAUUCAUAGUUGUACGUAUUCCUAUCUUGUUUGUGCGUGUUUUGUUCAGGCCCCAAGGGAGGCUAGCCGGCAGAUUUCUCAAAUGAUCGAUGAAUCAGCAAAGCUAGCUAGAGUCUUCUGUGAUAACAAGUGGCCAGUUCUGGCCUUUCUUGACUCGCACCAUCCUGACAGGCUCGAGCACCCGUAUCCCCCUCACUGCAUCAGCGGUACAGAUGAGUCCAAUUUGGUUCCUGGUAUGGUUACUGAAUCAAGACUGGUCAUGUAUAAUUUCCCUUUCUGUUUGAUACCAAUAUUCAAAACAUUAAAUCGAAGCUUAAUCUGAGAAAUACUACUGAAACAACUUCAAUUUCAAACUCGUUGGCCGUGGCCAUGAUGUCAUUUGCAUGUAUGUUUGUUUGCAGCUUUACGAUGGCUAGAGAAAGAACCAAAUGUAAUAAUCAGGCGUAAAGAUUGCUACGAUGGUUAUAUAGGCUCAUUUCAGGAAGAUGGUUCGAAUGUGUUCGUCGAUUGGGUUAAGAAAAACAACAUACAAGUUGUAAGUGUAAUAUCCCAAUUGAAAGUUUGGAAGGAUUUCUCAUCACCGUUUUGCUACUCAAGACAUAACUUAUCAAACAUGAUGAAUUUAAUCUGACUGAUAUAAUUUGUGCCCAGCUAUUGGUUGUAGGGAUAUGUACAGAUAUUUGCGUGCUGGAUUUUGUUUGCUCGACUUUAUCAGCUAAAACCCGAGGUCUUCUUACGCCUUUGGAGGAAGUGGUGGUGUACUCUCGGGGAUGCGCCACCUUUGACUUUCCAGCUUCCAUGGCCAAAAACGCCAAAGACGUGCUUGCUCAUCCUCAGGUAUUUUUACAAACGCAGUCUUUUAUUCAAAAGCAUACUCCAUAUGACCCUUCUCGGAUAACAAUUAUAGAUUCUUGAUAUUCUCACUCUAAAUUAUUCCUAAGAAUUUCAGCAGAUAUUGUUGAAUUUCUCGUCUCUUUGACACUUAUACCUGCCCCACUUAUGGUGCUUCCUAAGGAUUUUAUGCUGACCAAUGCGUUCCUUAGCAGCUUUUCUUACUACUCUAGAAAAUAUCCGUGAACGAACUUACCUCUUCAGCUCCUUACCUCUUCAGCUCCCGGAGCUUCCAAGGAAUAUAAGCUUGACCAUUUUCUUCCAUGGCAGGAGCUGAUGCACCACGUUGGCCUUUACAUGGCCAAGGGAAGGGGAGCCAAGAUAGCAAGAGAAGUGUCAAUUGGUGCAGUCAAGAAUGCGUGACUCACUACCGGCAACCCUUGUACUGCCUACCAAGGCGCCGCUACUCUUAAUUGCUUUUGUUUGGCUAUCAUUUAUACCACCCUUGUGCUACGCUCCUCGAAAAGCGUGUACGCUCAGAGACAGCGUGUGUUGCACCAUUUAAGCUUCUUGUCGGCUAUGAAUGAGAACCAUUUUCUUGUUGGAUAUUAACAAGACAUGCAUGCUAAUAACCAGCUCUUGUACCCUCGGAAAGUUCCAGAGUAUGGUCUGAUUUGAGCCAUUUAUGACUCGUUUUUCUGGGUUGGACGUACGAAUAAUGGCUUAGAAUAAAUCCUCCACCGUAAAAAGCCUAUUUCCACAAGGCCCUAGAUCUGCAAUCAUCUCAUACUGGAAAUCUCUCGAACCACACGAGAUCGUGUUUUGCAUUACAGAACCCAAGACCAAAUGAACAAAAAGGUGAGAAUGUCAAGUUAGUUUAACCUGAAAGAUGGUAGAUUGCAACAGCAUACAUUUUUUUAGCACUUGAAUGUCAUAAAGAUGAGGGAUAAACAUUAAAAUUGCACAUUCCUAUUUACUAAAACUCCAGCCAAAUUCCAUUUUCAAAUAGAUAUUCACAUCCUAUGUACAUUUCCGGCAUGGAAGCUAACCGAAAACCAGAGCGGCAACGCCCUAAGAAAUUGCCGCACCAGAAAAUUUGGGGACUCCUCGAACCUCUAGUUAAAAGUUCGGUAGUUAGUUUCAUGAUAUUUCUCUGUCUCAUAAGCGUCAGAUGUAUUCAUCCAAGUCUUGCCAAUUAGUUGAAACCAUCCAGCUUUCUUUCUGCAGUGAUACUCGAAGGACUUCAUAACAGUAAAGAUCAUCUAAACUGCAAAACAAAUAUAUAUAUAUAUAUAUAUAUAUAUAUAUAUAUAUAUAUAUAUAUACACACACACACACACAGAGAUAUAUUAAAAGUCUUCUUUGCAUCAUCUGUCAGUGGAACCCAUUGGCUAUCAAGUGCAUAUGUGGAAGUUACAAAAAAAAAAAAAAAAAACUCCUGUGAUGCUCAGUUGAAUGAACCUACCCAUCAGACUAGUAAUAAGACUGCAAAAGCAUGAACAGCGUCAAAUCUAUGUACAAGCAGACUUCACCGGUGCAGCCUCAGCCGAUUGAAAAACACCAAAAAAUGGAAUUCAGGGGCCCAAUACACGAACCCAACCACAGGCCCCCCUUUAAUGUACUGCAAGGAUUUGUUAAAGGAACAUUUCAUGAGUCCAACAGCUGAGGAAAGAUACAUUUUAUGGAAAGAUGGAAAAUAAAGCAAAUGCAACUGCAGAAGUUGAUAAGCAACGGGAACCUUUCCAUCCAAAAUGACAAGUUCACCAUCAACCCAUCGAGGGUUGCGAAACCCAGGCUCAGCCAGCCUGCCUUGUCCCCUAUAACGAGCAACCUACAUCAACAGUACAGGUACGAAUAACAUAAUACAUGUACAAUUAGAGUUUUUUUUUUAAAUAUUCUUUUGGGGUUAAGAUGCAAUAGAAAAUAAGAAUCGAUGCACCAUAUAAUCUGGUUACUAGUGUAUAAGUAUUGUACAAUUGAUGGAAAAGAAAAAUCAAGUAAAAGAAGAAAGAUAGUAAACAAAUUGAUUUUCUAAAAAGCAACAUACCACCCCAAAUUCUUCUGGAAUUAUCCCUUUGUGAGGGAGCUGAUAUCUGUUUCCAACUUUGGCACGGAAGGCUAUCUGCAACGAGUAUAUGAUAAACAGAAAAAUUAGGAUGCCACAAUUUUUUUCAACUAAAUAAAACACAAGCCUAGCAUGUUGAAUAAGUAAUGAAAAUCCACAAGCAAGUUAAGCAGCAAAUGAGUUUUACAUCACAGGGCAUCCUUGGCUGAUUAGAGCUCUUCCACAUGGGGGUGAGCAGGAUAGCCCAAAGCCCUCAUCACCAAAUAGACACACACAGUACACACACACAUACACACAGAGCUCAAAACCUGAGCCAAACAAUGUCAGACAGAUAACUGGUAUCAACAAUAGAAAAUUACCUGGCCAGCUGGCACAUAAGGAUCCCCCGUCAGUUUUACUGCCUCGACAUAUUCAUAGAACCCAACAUUGGGAGGCUCCUCCUUUCGGCCAUCUUCUUUCCACUGACCAAAUUUGCGCCUCAAAUGGAUAACCUCCGAAGUAUAGAGCCCAUGGGCACCUAUAUAUAGUCCUGAGAAAUGUACAACAUGCUUUCUGAACUUGUCCAGAAUGUGGCUAAAAUGAUGCGCUGAGAAGAGCAGAGCAACAAAUAAUGGAAAAUUAGUAUUUUAAACAGCAACACUAUCCAGACUAAGUUACCAUUCAAUGGAUCCUGAUUUCCAGGGAUAUCAAUGCGACUAAAUGUUGUUGAUCCAGACAGUGGUUGAUGAUUUCGAGCCUGAUUAAGUGUGAGAUUUAUCAAUUCACCAACAUCCUUUAGCACCUGCUCAUUGAGACAAUCCUUAACUGCUCAGUUUGUCAUUCAGAAAGCUUCAAAGAUUCACAAGCAAUAGAUGGAUAACAGUUUGUAGCCUAACCUUCAUAGGUAUCCGCCCCUUGCCAAUGAACUUUGCAAGAUCAAGCAUCACAUGGUCCACGCUGCGCAGACCUUGAAGCUUAGCCUUUUUGUUAGGUGAAGUAUUUCCGUCACCACCAGCUAUGCGUUUGUUGUCAUCUUCCUCCUCUACAGUAAAGGUAAAUGACAAGCGGCCCCGUUUCUCUAGCCUUGCUGGGACCCGAAGCAGGUCCUUUGGUUGGGAACCAGGGGAAAAUUUUGACACCAAGCUUCCAACAACUACCUUAACUGCAAUUUGACUCUGCUCUUCGCCAUAAGGAAUUCCAUUAUCAGCAUUCAAUACAAUAUUGUCCUCAUCAUCAUUUUCAUCUUUAACUUCAUCAUCAGCAUCAGUACUUUCUAGCUCAAUGUCCUGUUCUUCAUCUUCUUCCUCAAUUAUUUGUUCAACGACCUUAGAUAUAAGAUCCCUGUCAACCUUCCCUGGUGCAGUUACUUUCAGAACUUUGACCUUCACACCAGGGAUCAGGUCUCGCAGGGUAUUCUCAAGACUAGAGUCAUCAUCCCUCUCAUCACUAUCCGUUGAAUCCUCAGCAUUUUCUUCCAACAGGCCACUUCUGUCCUCAGUUGAACCGAGAGAAUCAAAGUUACUGGUACCAGUUGAUGUUUUGAAAGGAGGAAUAGGAAAAUCCAACGGAGCUUUCCUCCGUUUCAAGUAAACAGCCUGACAUGCAAAUUAAAUUCCCAAAAUUACAUGUGAAAGAAACAAGAUAUCUCACUAUCAAAUUUAAAUAUUACAGAAGACCCAAAUCUAUCUACAUGCUUCAGGAACAUGUUUAUUGAACUGAACAAUGGCUAAGAAGCUGAAUAUCAAGUGAAGAGAAGGGAAAAAGGUAUGGCAUCCUCUUCGACUGCAUGCAUGUUUCUCAAACAGACACAAGAAAACUAAACUACUGUUCUCCAGCCUUUGAUGAAGCAUUAAUAUCAAAUGCUACCAAACUUGCCCUAGUUAUCCACUUAGUGGAGUAGAUUUAGGCAUAGAAUGCAUAGUUGCCGGUUUCCUAUUAUUCAGUGGAAAAAGAUCACAUCAUCUGUCAGAACCACACCCCAAGCAAAUAACAUUCAGGUUUAAAACAACCACAAUACUCGAUGAGUAUCAUUGUGUAAACAAUAAGCUAACAUGGAAGUAAAACAAAAUUUUAUCUUCCUCCCUGCAUGUGUCAUGCAUGCUGAUAACUCCAUGAACACAUUUCAUUCACCAAAUUUUAGCUGGUAAAGAAAGGUACCUGCUGUUUGUAUUCACCCUUCUUAUUCAUGGUAAAGAAAAUCUCAAAUAAUGGGGCGCCAUCCUUGGCUGUAGCAAGCUGCCUGACAGUAGAAAACAUGAUCCCAUCAACAUUCUCAUACUCAAUGAGUGAAAUAAGCUAAAGCAAGCUUAAUAGAAGAGUGGUUAAUAGGACAGUGAUCAACAGAACCAACGAUCCAAGAAAGGGAUUAAACAGAAAACUAUAUCACCAUUAGAUUGCUUCCUGCAGCUCAAAGGCUGGAGAAAGAGUGCAUAUUGACUGCUUACUAAGAUCAGAGUAGAUAACAAUGAAAAAAUGUGCCUUAAAGAGGAAUGGUCAGACAGAGAUCCUGCAUCAACCACUUUUAACAUCCUUAGAAUUGCCAGCAUCAAUCAGACAAUGGACUCUAUGCUCUACCAAAAAAGUCCAUUAUAUGGAUGUGAACUACUUUGGACAUCCCUCUGGAAAAAAGGAUUCUACUGGUUUAACUUAGCCAAAUACCAGGCUGCUCUCAAUACAUUUUAGACAAUUAGAUUAGUUUUGGGUUACUAUUAUUUCCAUUUUUUUUGGGGGUUUGGGGUUUUUUUGGGGGGAGGGUGGAGCAGGUUUUUACUUGUACAUUAUUGACUACUCCAUUAGCAUCUUCCACAUAAAAUAGCCAAUCAAACAGAGAUCUAAACUAAUAAGAAUGUCUAGGCAUAAAAUUGCAAACUUCAACUCUAAAGGUGGUUUACCGUGGACUAUAACUUCUAGCAACAUAUCGCCCAUGCUCUGCACUUAUGUGAAUAAUACAACCAUAAGGAUCAUGAGUAUCUUCUGAAAUACCAGCCCACCACCCCACCUGAAAUAGCAGGUCCAGUCAAACCACAUUACAAAGGACAGAAAGCAAUACACAUGCAGGACAAAUAUAGCAUGAGCUAUUAACAAGAAGCAACAUCGCUAAGAACUCACAUUUGCUAGGGUUAUCGGUCAUGUAAGAAACAGCCUGAAACACAUAUAUUCAUGAGUGAAUUCAACUCCAUAUGAGACACCAUUGUUCAUACCCGAGAGAUUGUUAUCAAUGUGACAAAAAGGACACUUGGCUGAUGAUGUUCUCCUAAUAACCUAUUUUCAGAUUUUUCGUUUCUUUCUUCAUGGUAUUUUCCUUACCUAGAAACUUCCAAUAUUAGGUCUGCAGCAACUCAGGACAAGACCAGACUUGGUUCCGGAUCUGGAUGUUUCAAGUGAUUGGCUCUUAAUACAGGCCCAUCUACUUGCCAAGAUCCACACCCUCUUUUCUAAAAUUGGCAUGAAUAUGCUGCUCGCUGACGUAAAUCUCAAGGUGGAUAAAGACCUUUUUAUAAAAUCAGCUUUCCAUAUAUUUCUGUAUGAAAGAGAGUAUAUUUACCCGUGUACAAGUGUAUGCACAAACAUAGGACAAUUGUCCAACAUACAUGACAUGUGCGAGCAAGGUUCAGUUAGGUCCAUGAUGGGUCCACCAUAUUCACUGCUUAGGUGAAUUGGUCAACAUCUUGAUAUGUAAGCUGCAGAACUGGUUUGGGAAUAGGCAAAAUGCAGCAUAGACUAACCCAUUGAAAAACCUUUUAAAUAGGAUUGUAGAUUGCAUAUAAUAUGGACAACAGACUCAACAAAUUACAGUUCUAAUACUCCCAAGUGCUACUCUAACUUACCAAUCCAGCACCAGCAUAAUCACGUAGAAGAGCUGCAUCUCCAUAGCGCUCUUCCUGCACAGCUCUCUGCAUCAUGCUCCACAAAUCAAAGAGAGAUAGUGAUAACUUAUUGUCGUGAAGGCAAAAAUUGAAAAACGAGACAUAGAUGAACCAACAUACAAAAUAAAUGACACUUGGACAAAAAGCAACAGCAAAAAAAAUUCCUACAUUCAGGUGUGACAUCGCUUUGGCAAUUGUAUCACUUGUAGCUGCAGCUGCAAUUGCCACCUUAAGCCUGGCAGCAUCCUCGUAAUCCUCUCUAUUGAUAGCACUAGCUAGCUGAGACUGUGCAGAUUAAUUGGUGUCAUCAUUAGCAAGCAUACCAUGGUUAACCAAAAUAGCCUUCAAAAUUGCCACAUAGACAGAUAAAAUGACUGACACAGCAUAAAUGAUUGCAGAAAUAAUCAGCAUGAUGUUUAAAUGCUGAAAGUCUCUGCUCUAAUUGGGAAAAUUUUACCAACUAAGUUAUAAUCCAUCUUAAAAUUACCAUAAAAACAUCCUUCGGAAUCCCACAGCCAUUUCAAGGACGACAAAGACAACAUCUUCACUCAAAUACAAGAGUGUAUGGAAAAGUUUAGAAAAAGGAAAAACUUAAAUCCCAGAAAAGUGUUGAUUAUAUGGCAAAGUUCAAAUGUUAGAUCAAAUAUAGAAUGUAAAAAUUUAUUUUGCUGCUUUAAGUAUUCUCUAACCCCCAAGCCUUGAAGUUUUGGGGGAUGAGAUGACCUGUUAAAAUUUACUUGACACCUAAAAGGAUUAUAAUCAAGGUUAAAUCAAAGACAACCCCCUCUGAUGUUACUAAAUGUUUGAUGGUGUUGCAGUCUAGCUAUGGCUGAUUGCAGCUAACAGUUGCGUACUUCUAGCUCCAGGUUCUCAAAAAUCAGGGGCCACACAUGUCACAACCCAGUAGAGUAGUUAGGGAUGUCCCAUCCCAACAUUAUUUCCCACAGUAAGAAAAAUAAAGUGUAUUGAGGUAUCAUGGGCUUUGGAAAUGCAGAAAUGAGCUGUUGAGUAGAUGACAUGGUCUGUGGCUUUUAUUAGUAACACAAUAAUAGCAGCCCAUUCCUUCAACAAAACCUCAGUCACGAAAUUCUAUUUUUAAAGCUACACUCCCAGACAAAUCAAGCAGCAUAACAUCAAUGAAAGGGCCCCCAGUCAGCCAACAUUAUCUGCUGUCCCAACAUUAUUUCCCUUUGAAAGAAAAAGAAAGUGUAUUUAGGCUUCAAGGACUUUUGAAAUGCUGAAAUGAGCUGCUGCUUAAAUGACUUGGUUUGUGGCUUUUAUUGGUCUACAUGUACAAGAUUAUACGUAGUAACACAAUGAUAACAGCCCAUGCAUUUGGCAAAGUCUUGCUCACAAAUAUUGUACUUUUAAAGCUCCAUUCCCGGACAAGUCAAGUGAAUACCGUCAAUCAAAUCCCCCCCCCCCCAAAAAAAAAAACAGCUAACCUCUCAAGAACAAGUCAUUACUUGUAAGCUUAUAACAUUAGUACAAUGACUAAGAAAGCAUUCCCCACUGACACUGAAAGCGUAAAAGCAGCUUAAAAUGAUGAAUCCUAAUCAAUCAUGGAUAAUCAACAUACAGCCUAGAAAACCAUGAAGCCUCCCAAAGUUGGAUAUGUUAAGAUUUCAUGAUCCUGCCAAUCAAGAGCAGUAAGCAGAUGAAGAAAAUCAGUGCUCCCCAAGGACGAAAACUUAAGGUUAUAAAGAUCUUCCGGAAAGAACCCUUGUAAGUCUGAAAUGCAAGCUUCUCAUUUAAAGUAGGAUAAUAGUGAAAAAGCAUGAACGAGUAAGAGCAUACAUUUCAAGAGUAUUCAGGUAUAAGCAUUUACAAUUUGAAUUAAAUAAUGGUAAUCCAAUCACCUACGUGCUAACAACCAAGACAAUUUACUUCAAUCAGUAUUUAUUCUUCUACUUUUCCACCUCAAAUUUGUUUCGAAUUCAUAGUAAUCCUCAGGGAGAAAUUUUAUUCUAUUCUGUUGCACCCAAAAAGGAUGCAAAUAAUCAAGAUUUGAAAGAAGUCAGCCCGAUGAACUAGGGACCUAACCUCAGGCUGCUCACCCAAGUCUUACUAAUUUCUACUUUCAGAUAUUGGUAAUAAAGAAUCUCCCACACUUUACUAUGCUAGCCACCACAAGGGUUCCAUACCUACUAAUAUCUAUAAGCCAGUGCUUUUAAUGUUAAAAUGUUUACAGAAUCUAUUGAUCAAGCUACUAUGGAGCUCCUUUAAUGACAAGAAAAUUCCACCAACAAAAGAAGAUAUCAUCAACUAUAUUAUUAUUUGCUUAAUAUAAGCUUGACCCCAAAAUUUUGUUUAAUAAAAAGAAAACCAUCAGUUAUAUUCCCCGCCCAUACCGCAUCUGCCUCUACAGCCAACCAGGCAAUACAAAAAGCUAAAUCAGUCAGCUAGUAAGCGAUGCUUAAAUCCAGUUCCUUUUCACACUCCACCAUGGAAACUCACAUUAUCCCAUUAUGAACUGAUCUUUUCCUUGUAAUCACCCAAACACAUCUGCAUGCCACUCCUUUUACCGUAUAUCACAUGCAGCCUCUAACUUGUCAUACAAGUUGCAGCUCAACGUCCACUUAUUUUACUGGUAUUCCCACUUUGCCAACUACUCGGCGUAGGCUUCAUAUCCCACUCCCAGUGUCUUCUUUUUCCCAUUCAGUCAUGCCCUUCCUUUUUUGGAUGAACUACAAGUCCAAUACCUUAUAGAUAUUUUACCUCUAUUUAACCCGUUUCUAACUAGCAAAUAGCACCAUACAAACAAAAUCGAACACGUACUGCAAAUAUCAACUAUUUCGACCCAAAAAAAGGGUAAAAUUUCACAGACGAACCUUGAGAACGGAAACAAUCCGCUCUUGCUCAUCAACAUCACUGAAAUGCUUUCUCCACCGCUCCCAAUCCCAGUCUUCAAGCUCGACUCCACCAUAAUCUAUACCUCCUUUCACCCCACUACCAACUCUCACAUCCUGAUUCCAGAAUGAAUUCACAUAAUCAUCGAACCUCUUCAUCGUUUUCCGAAACACGUCCUGAAUCGCCGAGUCCCAUCCCCGAACCAACGAGUCAUCACCCUCGGACGGAUUAUCCGGAAUGCCACUUUUGUUGCAGCGGCAGAGCACAGAAUCAGAACGUGAAACCCUAGAGAGAGAAUGAUGGUGCGAGUUAAAGUUGGAGGAGGCGCGCUUUAGUCGAGAUGACGACGAGAAUACAGAGUUUGAGAAAUUGAGCUUGUGCGGGUUCGGAUCGGUUCUAGUCGACGGGGAAGGAAAAGUUGGCGGUGCUAUCGACGCCAUGUAAAAUAAUAAUAACUAGAAUCAGAUAGCAAAGGUGAGGAUGAUAAGAACGACGUCGUUAGGUACAGAAGCUACUACAGCAAUCGUACAAGCUUGUUGAUGCUAGACGAGAGAAAAGGGGAAAAGAGGCUAUCUGAAGACUGAAGGAGGAGAGGAUUAAGCUGAACAGUGCACAGGAAGUAAAAGUGGAUAAGGAAUUUGUUUUCUUCGUCGUACGCACACGCGUGUAUACAAAAUAUUGUUCAAAUCAUUUCUCACAUCAAAUAAUUUAAAUUAUUUUGUCCCUUCACUUUUAAAAUAUUAAUUUCACAUUUCUCAUUAAUUAAAAUCUACAAAAUAUGGUCCCAAUUUAAGUUUUGAUUAUUUUUUAACCAUGAAUUCAUGUAGGACUCAUAGUGAUCAUUUUUUAGAAGCAAAAAGAUUCGAUACCAUUUGCCGUUAAACUAAUGAUUCAGUGCAUAUUCAAUUAUUGUUCUAAAAUAGUGAAAUUUAACUCAAGCCCUAAAAUGGUAUGACUUGACUUAAUCCAUAUUCAUUUUUUCCUAUAAACAAGUGAGAUCUGACCUUUUUAUACCUACAAAACAAUUAUAUAUGAGUCACGUGGCGAUUUCAAAUUUAAAGGUGAUUCGAAAUCUAGAUUGUGACCAAAAUUUGUCAAUUUAAAUUUAGAAGAGAUAUAAAAUUAAUAUUUUAAAACUGAACGAUGAAUAUAAAAAAAUGAAAGAUGAAAAAAAUUCAUUUGAUGAAAGGUAAACGAUUCUCUCUCUCUAUAUAUAUACAGACACGCUCUCUCUCGCAAGUGUUAUUUCUUUUUUUUUAUUUUUUUGGGAUGGGUUUCCUUCCAUCAUUUGCUCAUCUAUUUCAUUGUAUUUUUUUUUUUUCAAUUGAGGGGCCUAAAUGUUCAUGGUGGAUGUUUCUGAUUUGUCCAACAUUGACUCGACCGCCGAAUUGAUUUUGUGGUCGAGCAAAAUAGCAUAUUCCCAAUCCAACGACCCCAAAAUAGGUUCUGGCUAUUAUAAUCCUUCUUAUGCUGCUUGUCUACAAACAAUUAUAUGAGGAAAAAAAAUUAUCUUCACUUCAUUCGUCGGUUUUGUUCAGCAAUUCUUUGUCAUUUUCUAUUUUUUGCCAACAAUUACUUAUCACUAUAUUUGCACAUUUUUCAUAAAUAAAAUGAAUAACAUGGGCAAACACAGAUACUAGGUUAUCAAAUUCGAAGGGCUACCAUCAAACAUCCACGAGAUUACUAAUCAGAAGAGCCUAGGCUUAUGUUUCCAUACAUUUUCUUACAAAAGUAAGCAUGUUUUUGCAAAUAAAUCUAAUCCCCACAGUAACUUCAAAAGCCUAGGCUUACAGAAGAGCCUAGGCUUAUGAUCAACAAAAUUAUGACUUGCUGACUGGAGUUUAAGAUGUAACCGUUUGCAAAGACACCCGUCACUACCGCUCUAUCUAGUUACACCUAUGGUUCAAAGACUCGGCUGAGAUCGUGACGACUCGGCGGCGGCGUCACCAGAACGGAACUUUUCGUUUUGAUAUCGGGACGAAAUGAGUCCGAAAUAAUGAAUCAUCGAAAACUCGACCGAAUUAACGAGAAUUUGAUCAAAACGUCUCCCAGACGGAUAGAAACGGCCGAAUCACCUCGAAUUAGGAUCCGGGGCUGGAAUGGUUGUCAGAGCAACCGUUCUGGAAGGUGUAACACCAUUUGCACACGGUGUAACAUCAUCUGUAUAAGAUGUAACAAUAGAACAACAGUGAGUAAUACUAGAAUAACAUUUUUGUGGAUCCCACACGGCGUGAAAAUUGAGUUACAAGAAGUGAUUUGAGCCACACAAAUUUUUUUGACCUAAUCAUGGCCGUGAACCUUGACAACCGUUCCAGCCCCUCCUCCCUCGAAUCAAUUCAAAUUUUUAUUAUUUUUACUAAAUUUUUAUUAUUUUUAUUUAUCAUACUUUUUUACAAUUUUUAAAAUAUUGAAUAUUUCAAAAAUUUGUAUCUCGCCGAAACCGUGACCAAUAUAUGUGCCCGCUUUAUAAUGAAAUGAAAACUCGGAGAUUGGGUUCAACAACUUGAAACUCAGUACUCGACGAUGAAAUAAAUAAUUUAAUGCCAUGAACAUGAUCAGACACCAAGUUCCCGCAUCUUGAUGAUAUAAUAAAUGCACGAUAGUUGGCAAAGACGAAGUGUUUGUUUACAGGGUGUAGGAAUUUAGUUCAAAGCAUACAACUAAAAGAAGGAAACAGUUCCCUCUCGCUGCACUUAAAUUAAGAUGCAAUGUCACAAUGUAUUAUGUGCUCCUACGCAGCAAGGGAUCAGAAAUGACUUGGGGCUCAAAAUCUGGCUUCACAUAACGAGCAAGUAAAUAAGAAUACAUUUC